rnacentral:rRNA from 1 species
UACGUAGGGUGCAAGCGUUAAUCGGAAUUACUGGGCGUAAAGCGUGCGCAGGCGGUUUUGUAAGUCUGCUGUGAAAUCCCCGGGCUUAACCUGGGAAUUGCGUUGGAGACUGCAAGGCUGGAAUCUGGCAGAGGGGGGUAGAAUUCCACGUGUAGCAGUGAAAUGCGUAGAGAUGUGGAGGAACACCGAUGGCGAAGGCAGCCCCCUGGGUCAAGAUUGACGCUCAUGCACGAAAGCGUGGGGAGCAAACAGG